rnacentral:rRNA from 1 species
AGCAUGGUCUUAGCUUGCUAAGACUGAUGGCGACCGGCGCACGGGUGAGUAACACGUAUCCAACCUGCCGUCUACUCUUGGACAGCCUUCUGAAAGGAAGAUUAAUACAAGAUGGCAUCAUGAGUCCGCAUGUUCACAUGAUUAAAGGUAUUCCGGUAGACGAUGGGGAUGCGUUCCAUUAGAUAGUAGGCGGGGUAACGGCCCACCUAGUCUUCGAUGGAUAGGGGUUCUGAGAGGAAGGUCCCCCACAUUGGAACUGAGACACGGUCCAAACUCCUACGGGAGGCAGCAGUGAGGAAUAUUGGUCAAUGGGCGAGAGCCUGAACCAGCCAAGUAGCGUGAAGGAUGACUGCCCUAUGGGUUGUAAACUUCUUUUAUAAAGGAAUAAAGUCGGGUAUGUAUACCCGUUUGCAUGUACUUUAUGAAUAAGGAUCGGCUAACUCCGUGCCAGCAGCCGCGGUAAUACGGAGGAUCCGAGCGUUAUCCGGAUUUAUUGGGUUUAAAGGGAGCGUAGAUGGAUGUUUAAGUCAGUUGUGAAAGUUUGCGGCUCAACCGCAAAAUUGCAGUUGAUACUGGAUAUCUUGAGUGCAGUUGAGGCAGGCGGAAUUCGUGGUGUAGCGGUGAAAUGCUUAGAUAUCACGAAGAACUCCGAUUGCGAAGGCAGCCUGCUAAGCUGCAACUGACAUUGAGGCUCGAAAGUGUGGGUAUCAAAC